UACGUAGGGUGCGAGCGUUAAUCGGAUUUACUGGGCGUAAAGUGUGCGCAGGCGGCCCGUUAAGACAGGUGUGAAAUCCCUGGGCUCAACCUAGGAAUUGCGCUUGUGACUGGCGGGCUCGAGUACGGUAGAGGGGGGUGGAAUUCCUGGUGUAGCAGUGAAAUGCGUAGAGAUCAGGAGGAACACCGAUGGCGAAGGCAGCCCCCUGGGCCUGUACUGACGCUCAUGCACGAAAGCGUGGGGAGCAAACAGG
rnacentral:rRNA from 1 species